CUUAGGGUGCUCAAAGUCUCCAGAAACUUGUGCAUGGAUUUCGUGUUAUUCAACUAAAUCUUCUCUUCUCUUAUGUUGGUAUGCAUGAUGAUACGGCGCUCCAUAAAGAUGUAUAAAGAUGGCGAUUAUGCCGCUUAGUUGGACCUUGAAGCCCCCAUCAGCGAGCAACAGGAAGAAUUCGAAGAUUUCCAGACCAAGUAAGUCUUCUCGUCAUUUAACAUCCUUAAUAAAAAGCAUCAUGCUUUAAUUACUUUAAUUACCUACCUCACCCCCUUAAAAUUGUUCUAUAACAUCAGUUAGAUUGUGAUUUUAAUGUAAAUUACGAUUAAAAUUGAUACUGUGGUGAAUAGUGUGAGGUUCAAUAAUAUAGAAUAACGAGAGAUUGCUGCUGCAACCCGUUAAAUAUGUUUGGAAUAAAUUAAAUAGAUAUAAAUAAAUAUAAAUACUGUCGAGAGACGCUCGCACAAACGUAUUUGCAAAGAUAGAGUAUGAACGUUGGCGGAUAAUUCGAUAACUCGUCUACUCCGCUAAUCGCUGAUAAUAACUCGGAUAGUAACUCGGAUAAUAACUCACUCGUUCGCGAUCGCGUCCGUUUAUUUAUACUAGUCGGAGGGGGGGGGAGAUUCAGAAAAUUUGAAUUCGUCUUAGGUGGACGGUUGCCCAUAACGGCGACAUUGAUUUUUUCCGGAGUUUAUCUAUCGUUAUGUUUCGUGCAUCAAGGCGGCUUUCGUGUUCCAAGGCACAACAACAACAUGAAUCGCUCUCUAUUCGCAUCGUCCUAUGACUCAUAUGCCGCUACAUCACCCCCCCCCC
rnacentral:lncRNA from 1 species